rnacentral:misc_RNA from 1 species
AACGCACAUUGCGCCCUCUGGUAUUCCGGGGGGCAUGCCUGUUCGAGCGUCAUUACAACCCUCAAGCUCUGCUUGGUGUUGGGCACCACCGGCUUGGUGUGCCUCAAAAUCAGUGGCGGCGCCACCUGGCUUCAAGCGUAGUAACACUUCUCGCUUCUGGAGACCUGGUGUGUGCCCGCCAGCAACCCCCUCUCUUUUAAAGGUUGACCUCGGAUCAGGUAGGGAUACCCGCUGAACUUAA